UACGGGGGGAGCAAGCGUUGUUCGGAUUUACUGGGCGUAAAGGGCGCGUAGGCGGUCAGCACAAGUCAGUUGUGAAAUCUCCGGGCUUAACUCGGAAAGAUCAACUGAUACUGUGCGACUAGAGUGCGGAAGGGGCAACUGGAAUUCUCGGUGUAGCGGUGAAAUGCGUAGAUAUCGAGAGGAACACCUGCGGCGAAGGCGGGUUGCUGGGCCGACACUGACGCUGAUGCGCGAAAGCCAGGGGAGCGAACGGG
rnacentral:rRNA from 1 species